CGCGUAGGCGGCAUCUUAAGUCAGGUGUGAAAGCCCCCGGCUCAACUGGGGAGUUGCAUCUGAUACUGGGAGGCUAGAGUGCAGGAGAGGAAAGUGGAAUUCCGUGUGUAGCGGUGAAAUGCGUAGAUAUACGGAGGAACACCAGUGGCGAAGGCGGCUUUCUGGACUGCAACUGACGCUGAGGCGCGAAAGCUGGGGGAGCGAACGGGAUUAGAUACCCCGGUAGUCCCAGCCGUAAACGAUGGAUGCUAGGUGUGGGGGGUAUCGACCCCUUCCGUGCCGCAGUCAACACAAUAAGCAUCCCGCCUGGGGAGUACGGCCGCAAGGUUGAA
rnacentral:rRNA from 1 species